AUUGAACGCUAGCGGGAUGCUUUACACAUGCAAGUCGAACGAGUGGCGGACGGGUGAGUAAUAUAUAGGAACGUGCCCAGUGGAGGGGGAUAACUACUCGAAAGAGUGGCUAAUACCGCAUACACUUGGAGGGGCCCAUAGGGGAUUAGCUAGUUGGGGGGGUAAAGGAUCACCAAGGCAACGAUCCGUAGCUGGUUUGAGAGGACGCCCAGCCACACUGGGACUGAGACACGGCCCAGACUCGUACGGGAGUCAGCAGUGGGGAAUUGUGGACAAUGGGGGAAACCCUGAUCCAGCCAUCCCGCGUGUAUGAGAAGGCCUUCGGGUUGUAAAGUACUUUUGGCGGAGAAGCGUUAUCUGCAGAAUAAGCACCGGCUAACUACGUGCCAGCCGCCGCGGUAAUUC
rnacentral:rRNA from 1 species